rnacentral:rRNA from 1 species
GGGCCCGCACAAGCGGCGGAGCAUGCGGAUUAAUUCGAUGCAACGCGAAGAACCUUACCUAGGUUUGACAUAUAGGGAAAACUCCUGGAGACAGGAGGUCCGUAAGGGCUCUAUACAGGUGGUGCAUGGCUGUCGUCAGCUCGUGUCGUGAGAUGUUGGGUUAAGUCCCGCAACGAGCGCAACCCUCGUCUUAUGUUGCCAGCACGUAAUGGUGGGGACUCAUAAGAGACUGCCGGGGUCAACUCGGAGGAAGGUGGGGAUGACGUCAAGUCAUCAUGCCCCUUAUGCCUAGGGCUUCACGCAUGCUACAAUGGCUGGUACAAAGGGCUGCGAUACCGCAAGGUGGAGCGAAUCCCAAAAAGCCAGUCUCAGUUCGGAUUGGGGUCUGCAACUCGACCCCAUGAAGUCGGAGUCGCUAGUAAUCGCAGAUCAGCAACGCUGCGGUGAAUACGUUCCCGGGCCUU